rnacentral:tRNA from 1 species
ACCUGGCUGGCUCAGAAGAGCAUGUGACUUUUAAUCUCAGGGUCGUGAGUUCGAGUCCCAUGUGGGGUG